rnacentral:rRNA from 1 species
UACGUAGGGGGCAAGCGUUGUCCGGAAUCAUUGGGCGUAAAGCGCGUGUAGGCGGCCAGGUAAGUCCGUUCUGAAAGCCCGGGGCUCAACCCCGGGAGGCGGAUGGAUACUGCUUGGCUCGAGUCCGGAAGAGGCGAGUGGAAUUCCCGGUGUAGCGGUGAAAUGCGCAGAUAUCGGGAGGAACACCAAUGGCGAAGGCGGCUCGCUGGGACGGUACUGACGCUGAGACGCGAAAGCGUGGGGAGCAAACAGG